rnacentral:rRNA from 1 species
GACGAACGCUGGCGGCGUGCUUAACACAUGCAAGUCGAACGGUAAGGCCCUUCGGGGUACACGAGUGGCGAACGGGUGAGUAACACGUGGGUGAUCUGCCCUGCACUUCGGGAUAAGCCUGGGAAACUGGGUCUAAUACCGGAUAGGACCACUGCCUGCAUGGGUGGUGGUGGAAAGCUUUUGCGGUGUGGGAUGGGCCCGCGGCCUAUCAGCUUGUUGGUGGGGUGAUGGCCUACCAAGGCGACGACGGGUAGCCGGCCUGAGAGGGUGACCGGCCACACUGGGACUGAGAUACGGCCCAGACUCCUGCGGGAGGCAGCAGUGGGGAAUACUGCACAAUGGGCGCAAGCCUGAUGCAGCGACGCCGCGUGAGGGAUGACGGCCUUCGGGUUGUAAACCUCUUUCAGCACCGACGAAGCGCAAGUGACGGUAGGUGCAGAAGAAGGACCGGCCAACUACGUGCCAGCCGCCGCUGUAA